GUACACUCCUACGGGAGGCAGCAGUGGGGAAUUUUGGACAAUGGGGGCAACCCUGAUCCAGCAAUGCCGCGUGAGUGAAGAAGGCCUUCGGGUUGUAAAGCUCUUUUGUCAGGGAAGAAACGGUGGUGGCGAAUAACUACUACUAAUGACGGUACCUGAAGAAUAAGCACCGGCUAACUACGUGCCAGCAGCCGCGGUAAUACGUAGGGUGCAAGCGUUAAUCGGAAUUACUGGGCGUAAAGCGUGCGCAGGCGGUUGUGUAAGUCAGAUGUGAAAUCCCCGGGCUCAACCUGGGAAUUGCAUUUGAGACUGCACGGCUAGAGUGUGUCAGAGGGUGGUAGAAUUCCACGUGUAGCAGUGAAAUGCGUAGAUAUGUGGAGGAAUACCGAUGGCGAAGGCAGCCCCCUGGGAUAACACUGACGCUCAUGCACGAAAGCGUGGGGAGCAAACAGGAUUAGAAACCCGUGUAGUCCCAUGAU
rnacentral:rRNA from 1 species